CGCGAGGCGCGGGGUGCGGGGCCCAGUCUCGCCGAAUGGUGGGGAGUGGGUCCCUGCCAGCCCCAACUGGAGGUGCGCCGCGCGGGGUCAGAAGUGAGGGCGUCCGGAGCGCAAAUAUCUCGCCGUUUGUAUUUGUUGGAAAAUGGAUAUACCUUAUUUGAUUAUGAUGUUGGACUGAAUGAUAUAAUUCAGCUGCUAGUUCGCCCAGACCCUGAUCAUCUUCCUGGCACAUCUACACAGAUUGAGGCUAAACCCUGUUCUAAUAGUCCACCUAAAGUAAAGAAAGCUCCGAGGGUAGGACCUUCCAAUCAGCCAUCUACAUCAGCUCGUGCCCGUCUUAUUGAUCCUGGCUUUGGAAUAUAUAAGGUAAAUGAAUUGGUGGAUGCCAGAGAUGUCGGCCUUGGUGCUUGGUUUGAAGCACACAUACAUAGUGUUACUAGAGCUUCUGAUGGACAGUCACGUGGCAAAACUCCACUGAAGAAUGGCAGUUCUUAUAAAAGGACUAAUGGAAAUAUAAAGCAUAAAUCCAAAGAGAACACAAAUAAAUUGGACAGUGUACCCUCUACGUCUAAUUCAGACUGUGUUGCUGCUGAUGAAGACGUUAUUUACCAUAUCCAGUAUGAUGAAUACCCAGA
rnacentral:sRNA from 1 species